rnacentral:rRNA from 1 species
GACGAACGCUGGCGGCGUGCCUAAUACAUGCAAGUAGAACGCUGAAGGAGGAGCUUGCUUCUCUGGAUGAGUUGCGAACGGGUGAGUAACGCGUAGGUAACCUGCCUGGUAGCGGGGGAUAACUAUUGGAAACGAUAGCUAAUACCGCAUAAUAGUAGAUGUUGCAUGACAUUUGCCUAAAAGGUGCAAUUGCAUCACUACCAGAUGGACCUGCGUUGUAUUAGGUAGUUGGGGGGGUAACGGCUCACCAAGGCGACGAUACAUAGCCGACCUGAGAGGGUGAUCGGCCACACUGGGACUGGAGAACGGCCCAGGCUCCUUCGGGAGGCAGCAGGAGGGAAACUUCGGCAAUGGACGGAAGUCUGACCGAGCAACGCCGCGGGAGGGAAGAAGGUUUUCGGAUCGGAAAGCUCUGUUGUAAGGGAAGAACGAGUGUGAGAGUGGAAAGUUCACACUGUGACGGUAUCUUACCAGAAAGCGACGGCUAACUACGUG